GCCCGGCUGGCGCAAUGGCUAGCGCUUUCGACUUCUAUCGGCACCGAAGGGAUCGAAGGGUUGUGGGUUCGAGUCCCACGUCGGGUG
rfam:Catenaria anguillulae PL171 BCR44scaffold_112, whole genome shotgun sequence.